CUCUAUAGUGCAGUUAAAACAGGAACAUUGUUGCAUCCUAUGGAUCCGUAUGUAGAAAAUCCAAUGACAUAGGAAAUAGCAGAGAAAAAAACAUGAUGAAGUAAGUAUAUAUCCUAUAUCUAUCACACACCGUUCGUUCGUACGUCAGGUCGCCGCUCCCUGAGAGAUCACUGCCCUCACGCAUACCCGGUGCCUUUUCUCGUUUCUUCGGCCAGUCGUCGUCGUGUCUCUCUGCCUCUACGACGGGGACCAGGGACGUACCGCCAAAUCGGCAUACCCGUCACAAAUAUUCACAUGAAUUUUUAUACAAUUUAUUUAGAACACUCUUCAAUUUUAAAUUUAUUUGUGAAUGAAAUAAACAUUUGCCUCGAUCAAAGAAUAAAUGAAAAGAAUCGUAGCAGUUUUAACGAGGAUGUGUACAGAAUUUUGAGGAAUUCACGUAAAAUAAAGAGCAUGUAACUCAGAAAUCCUUUUCAACGGAAGUUACACUAUUUGUCCACGUAUCGUCAAAUUCACAUACUCGAACCGUAUCUCCUUCACGAAUUCGAGGCACACAGACUGGCAGUCGAUUGCAAAAAGCCCUUCUUUUCGCGACGGAAAGAACAAGGGAUCUAGAAACCCUACCCCCCGGGGCACGUGUACAUGUAUAUGGGCUGCAUGUCCAGCGCAUACCACAAUUCACAGACAUAUAUGUGCACGAAGGGGAAACUGACGAACACGAACCGGCAACGAGAUGACGAUUUCCACUAUUUCGCCGGCACGCGUGGCAAACUUGUUUAGCAAGCGCAACAUCGCCAUCUGUAUCGCGAAUCUCGCAUCACGAUUGUCGCGAAUUGACUGAGAAACAAGAUUCAUUUCUGAUAGAUACUUUGCGCUUGCGCAAUUAUUGAUUAAAAAAUCACGAAUUUAUAUCAUUUUUACGUUAAAUAAAAAAGAUAAUGUUAGUCAGUAUUUAUAAUGAAAUUUAUAUUAUUUAAUAAUAAAUAAUUUUACGUUGUUCAAAAAGAAUAUUUUAUGAUAAAAAUUCACUUUAAUUUCCCAUUUCAUUGAUCUUUCCUAUGAAAUUUUUGAAUAGUUAAUAGUAAGGAUAAAAAGGACAUUUUGAUUGGAAGAUUGAUAAUGUACAAUAAUUCAUUUGUGAUAACAAUUUUUACAAUGGAAAUCGAAUAAUUGGUGAGAAAUUUUAUAUAAUUUAUUAAUAUCAAUAAAUUUGUUGAAUUUUUUGAAGAGUUUUAUUUAAUGAAGCUAUAUUAAGAAUACGAUUUUCAAUUUUUAAAAAUUCGUAAACUUUCCAAAUAUGAUGAAAUAUAUUUUUUAUAGAUAAACAAAUAAGAAAAAAAAAACAAUGUAUAAUUUUUAAGUAUAACAUUUCUUUUAGACUUAUUAUUUUAAGACUUCUUUUUCCGAUUGCCUAAGUAUGUAUAUUUACUAACGUUGAUACCUUCUCUUUUUUUUUUUUUUUUUUCUGUAGAGGUAAGAACGGAAACUA